rnacentral:piRNA from 2 species
UUCAUGGUCAAUGAUUUUGUAUGCUGC